CCUACGGGGGGCUGCAGUGGGGAAUAUUGGACAAUGGGCGAAAGCCUGAUCCAGCCAUGCCGCGUGUGUGAAGAAGGCCUUCGGGUUGUAAAGCACUUUCAGUGGGGAAGAAAGCCUUGGGGCUAAUACCCUCGAGGAAGGACAUCACCCACAGAAGAAGCACCGGCUAACUCCGUGCCAGCAACCGCGGUAAUACGGAGGGUGCGAGCGUUAAUCGGAAUUACUGGGCGUAAAGCGCGCGUAGGCGGUCUGAUAAGCCGGUUGUGAAAGCCCCGGGCUCAACCUGGGAACGGCAUCCGGAACUGUCAGGCUAGAGUGCAGGAGAGGAAGGUAGAAUUCCCGGUGUAGCGGUGAAAUGCGUAGAGAUCGGGAGGAAUACCAGUGGCGAAGGCGGCCUUCUGGACUGACACUGACGCUGAGGUGCGAAAGCGUGGGUAGCAAACAGGAUUAGAUACCCCAGUAGUC
rnacentral:rRNA from 1 species